AGUGAACGCUGGCGGUAGGCCUAACACAUGCAAGUCGAACGGCAGCACAGUAAGAGCUUGCUCUUACGGGUGGCGAGUGGCGGACGGGUGAGGAAUACAUCGGAAUCUACUUUUUCGUGGGGGAUAACGUAGGGAAACUUACGCUAAUACCGCAUACGACCUACGGGUGAAAGCAUGGGAUCUUCGGACCUUGCGCGAGUGAAUGAGCCGAUGUCGGAUUAGCUAGUUGGCGGGGUAAAGGCCCACCAAGGCGACGAUCCGUAGCUGGUCUGAGAGGAUGAUCAGUCACACUGGAACUGAGACACGGUCCAGACUCCUACGGGAGGCAGCAGUGGGGAAUAUUGGACAAUGGGCGCAAGCCUGAUCCAGCCAUGCCGCGUGGGUGAAGAAGGCCUUCGGGUUGUAAAGCCCUUUUGUUGGGAAAGAAAAGCAGCAGGUUAAUACCCCGCUGUUCUGACGGUACCCAAAGAAUAAGCACCGGCUAACUUCGUG
rnacentral:rRNA from 1 species